UACAGAGGGGGCAAGCGUUAAUCGGAAUUACUGGGCGUAAAGCGCACGUAGUCGGCUUUGCAAGUCGGGUGUGAAAUCCCCGGGCUCAACCUGGGAACUGCAUCCGAGACUGCAUUGCUAGAGUAUGGGAGAGGGAAGCGGAAUUUCUGGUGUAGCAGUGAAAUGCGUAGAUAUCAGAAGGAACAUCAGUGGCGAAGGCGGCUUCCUGGACCAAUACUGACGAUCAGGUGCGAAAGCGUGGGGAGCAAACAGG
rnacentral:rRNA from 1 species